rnacentral:rRNA from 1 species
UACGUAGGGGGCAAGCGUUGUCCGGAAUCAUUGGGCGUAAAGAGCGUGUAGGCGGCCCGAUAAGUCCGCUGUGAAAGUCCAGGGCUCAACCCUGGAAUGCCGGUGGAUACUGUCGGGCUCGAAUCCGGAAGAGGUGAGUGGAACUCCUGGUGUAGCGGUGGAAUGCGCAGAUAUCAGGAAGAACACCAACGGCGAAGGCAGCUCGCUAGGGCGGUACUGACGCUGAGACGCGAAAGCGUGGGGAGCGAACAGG